rnacentral:rRNA from 1 species
UACGAAGGGGGCUAGCGUUGCUCGGAAUCACUGGGCGUAAAGGGUGCGUAGGCGGGUCUUUAAGUCAGGGGUGAAAUCCUGGAGCUCAACUCCAGAACUGCCUUCGAUACUGGAAAGCUCGAGUCCGGGAGAGGUGAGUGGAACUGCGAGUGUAGAGGUGAAAUUCGUAGAUAUCUGGAGGAACACCGGUGGCGAAGGCGGCAUCCUGGACCGGUAUUGACGCUGAGGCGCGAAAGCCAGGGGAGCAAACGGG